UAUCUAAUAUAAGUUCUCAUUAAUGAAAAAGAUUACAUACUGUUAAAGGAAAAAACAUUAAUGGCUGUACACAAAAUAACCAACUACUUAAACUUACAAAAUCCCAACAAAAUAUAACUGACAAAAUCCCUACUUAAUGGUUAUCCUCCAAACACCUAACUUCAAUUGCUCUCAGCAAUCUCAAAAAUACCACAUUUUACCCAUUAUUUUAUCUUGCACAGCAAUAUAAUCACUAAUAUGAACAAAAUCACCAUACACAUCAAACAAAUGCAAACCAGUAUCUUUAAAUGCCUAAGCUCAGAAGCUAAACACUCUUGCUUUCUCCAAUUGCUAUGCAUCUCAUUCUGCAACUUCAAGAUCUCUUCCUUCAACUCAACAAGUAUGCUCCUCUGCCUCAAACCAGACUCCAUAUUUUCUCUUCUUUGACUCGGAUCAACUGAUUCUCCCUUGCACCAGCUAAGAAAAGACCCACAUUCAUUGUCAAUGCAAUAAUAGUAUAACCUAUUUUUGUUCUUUGCAGUUUCAGAAAUCCUAGUCCCAGCUUUUUUUUCAUCCUUGCAGUAAGAAUUUAUAUAUCUUCUUCCUUAUAUUGCAUUGUUUGUGGCGCUAGAAAAUCCAGAUGAAGAAGACAUGAUGCAAACCCUGCAACCCAUGAAACCCUAGCCCCUUUACGUUUUUCUUCCUUCUAAGAGUUAUAAGUUUUGAAGAUUUUUGUUUCGUUCAACGUUUUAUAUUUUUUUUAUUCAACGUUAUAUAUUAA
rnacentral:lncRNA from 1 species